CCUACGGGCGGCAGCAGUGAGGAAUAUUGGUCAAUGGGCGAGAUCCUGAACCAGCCAAGCCGCGUGAGGGAAGACGGCCCUAUGGGUUGUAAACCUCUUUUUUCGGAGAACAAAACCCGGGACGUGUCCCGGACUGCAUGUAUCCGAAGAAAAAGCAUCGGCUAACUCCGUGCCAGCAGCCGCGGUAAUACGGAGGAUGCGAGCGUUAUCCGGAUUUAUUGGGUUUAAAGGGUGCGUAGGCGGUCCGUUAAGUCAGCGGUAAAAUUGCGGGGCUCAACCCAGACGAGCCGUUGAAACUGGGAGACGUGAGGGGGCGAGAGGUACGCGGAAUGCGUGGUGUAGCGGUGAAAUGCAUAGAUAUCGCGAAGAACUCCGAUUGCGAAGGCAGCGUACCGGCGCCAGACUGACGCUGAGGCACGAAAGCGUGGGGAUCGAACAGGAUUAGAUACCCGUGUAGUC
rnacentral:rRNA from 1 species